UAAUCCUGCCCCACUUCCUGCCUCUCCUCUCCCAGCUGGAAUCGACAGCUCCAAAGGACAGUCAGCCCCAUGGAGCUUCAGCUCCCAGCCUGGCAUGAUUGGAUGGGUUGGUUGUAAAUUCAACUUGGAUGCAAGAACAGCAGAAGUCUGGGAUGGAAGAUCACCGAGCUCAGCAUCCUGGCCCAUGGGAACGUAAAUACCACAUUCAAUGGAAAACAGGAUAAAAGAUCCUGACCUGCUUAAGUUGUUGGAUGGAGCAGAAGUUGGCUACCCCACCCUAUUCUGUGCAGGCAACUCUCUUUUUCAGUUUGUGCACUUUAGCACAUGCUCAAGGCGAGCUUCCAUCGCCAUCUAAAUAUUUUGAA